rnacentral:rRNA from 1 species
UACGUAGGGUGCGAGCGUUUGUCCGGAAUUACUGGGCGUAAAGAGCUCGUAGGUGGUUUGUCGCGUUGUUCGUGAAAACUCACAGCUCAACUGUGGGCGUGCGGGCGAUACGGGCAGACUGGAGUACUGCAGGGGAGACUGGAAUUCCAGGUGUAGCGGUGAAAUGCGUAGAUAUCUGGAGGAACACCGGUGGCGAAGGCGGCAUCCUGGACCAACACUGACGCUGAGUGAGCGAAAGCCAGGGGAGCAAACGGG